GUGCCAGCCGCCGCGGUAAUACGAAGGGGGCUAGCGUUGCUCGGAAUCACUGGGCGUAAAGGGCGCGUAGGCGGCCAUUCAAGUCGGAGGUGAAAGCCCAGGGCUCAACCCUGGAAUUGCCUUCGAUACUGUUUGGCUAGAGACCGGAAGAGGUAAGUGGAACUGCGAGUGUAGAGGUGAAAUUCGUAGAUAUUCGCAAGAACACCAGUGGCGAAGGCGGCUUACUGGUCCGGUUCUGACGCUGAGGCGCGAAAGCGUGGGGAGCAAACAGGAUUAGAAACCCCCGUAGUCC
rnacentral:rRNA from 1 species